AGGGCCCGCGAGCUGAGCAUGCGCGCGGAACCCCGCCCCCCGCGAGCCGUGUGACCCCUGGACUGGGCCACUUUGGUCGGCCGGGUCCCGCCCUCUCCCUGACCGGAGACUGGGGCGCGGGGCGCCUGCCUGGGGGUGAGACACUGGAGCCCCGCAGUGCAGCCAUUUCCCCUGCCUUCGGCAGACCGUGCCGCGGCGCUGGGGCCCGGCGCCCUGGCGCACUCCAUCCGCGCCGUGGGGCCUCCUUUUUCUGAAACUGACUCAUAAUGCCUUGUUCUUCUGGCCCCGCGUCUGUGUAGAGAUCACCGCGUGUUUGGAGCUGUUUUCUGACCUCUGCGCAGUAACAACCAGCCAAACCAAACCAAACCAAGAAACCAAUCCAACUUUGGGCUCUUCCUUUGGCUUCUCUAGCACGGAACUCUUACGCUGCCACACAGGGCCCAGACUAGGUGACAACAAACAUUUGAAUAUAAGAAUCAUUAUUUGGAGGUGGUGGUGCAGUGAGGAAGACAAUAAUGGAGGAAUGACUGGUCCCCCCCCCCCCCCCCCCGUCUUAAGCCAGUGAGAACAAUGGCCAGCACUUACUAUAUACAGCCCAUAAUACUACUCUAAAUGCUUUAAUUUAUUUAUUUUGAGAGAGAGAGCAUGUGCAAGCAGGAGAGGGGCAAAGAGAGGUAAGAGAAUUCCAAGCAGGCUCCACGCUGUCAGCACAGAGCCCAGUGCAGGACUUCCUCUCACAAACCGGGAAAUCAUGACCUGAGCCGAAAUCAAGAGUCAGAUGCUUAACCAACUGAGCCACCCAGGUACCCCUAAAUGCUCGGUAAUGCCCUCGGCCCCUUAUCCCCAGAUGGUCUUCCUUGUUGGGCUCUACCACGUGAACAGAGGAGAAGAUUCUGCAUUACCCUUUCUUUGACCUUUCAUCCACUUGAAGACAAUGGGAUCAACUGCCUUGUUUCUGGUGAAGCUAUUUGCUCCUAACGCUGAGCAGAUGUACAUUGUUAAUCACUUGAAAGGGAGCCCAACAGAAGAGAAGAGAAAUGUACCAAAGGAAAGUGCCAGAAGAGCCCAUGGGGGCCUACAAGAUUUGGCAGACCUGAUCUCCAGCAAGCUUGAAGCUGCCAUUACACCGGUGGUUUUGGGGUGGCCCAGAACUGCCCUGUCAACAGUUCUGUAAAGGACUCUUUCAGCCCUCUGCUGUGCCAAGAUGCCUAUCAGCGGGUGCUUCAUUUCCAGUGUGCUGGCAGCUACAACCUUCCUGCUUGUGAAGUCACAGUGGGUCACACUAUUCAGUGUGGAUGGAAGGGGAGAAAAGGAUGAAAAGCUUACUGCCGGGUCAUGCUCCGGCCCAGAAGAGCUGGAAACUAUGAAGUCCACUGAAGGAAGGUUCACAUUCGCUCCAGGGAAGCAUGAAGGAAGCACAGCCAGGCCGGAAUAGCAAUGGUGAUGGAUUUGUGUGAGAUGGUUGGCCAGACGAGAAUACGGUCUGAAGUCAUGGAACUGGAUACUUGAUUUGCCCCACCUAAACAGCCAACUAAUCAGCUUUGAGCGACUCUGGAUGUGUUUCAAAGACUUUGUGCCCUUUGACUUUUUUAACUGGUGAGUGAAAGGGCCAGCCUUCCUUGCUGUACACAAGUGACCCCCAUAUUUUGUAAUUUUGGGUUGUGAGUUCAUCUUUAGUGAGGUUUUGUCUGUGGACCUCCGCAGCGGCUUGAGUUGAGGGUGAGACCCCUCCCCACUCAGAGCAGGUUUUAUUUCCUUCUGCUAGGAGUCCUGGGGUAUCAUGGUCUUGGCAGCAGGUGAGUGGGGGGAAAGUUGGGGAGCAUUUUUUAUGCUAAUUUCUGGCUUGGUAGAUGAGGAUCGUACAGGUAGUGUAAAGCUAAAUUGUUAAGUCCGUGAGAGGGCAGACCUAUGAUUGUUAAUUCUUUUUUUUAAUUUUUAAUUUUUAUUUAUUUUUUAAAAUUUAAAUCCAAGUUAGUUAACAUAAUAGUGUAUUACUAAUUUCAGGAAUAGAAUUUAGUGAUUCAUCGUGAACACUCCAUGCUCAUCCCAACAAGUGCCCUCCUUAAUGCCUAUCAUCCAUUUAGCCCAUUCCCCUAUCCAAUACCACGCCAGCAACCCUCAUUUUGUUCUCUGUAUUUAAGAGUCUCCUAUCGUUUGUCUCCCUCUCUGUUUUUAUCUUAGUUUUGCUUCCCUUCCCCUAAGUUCAUCUGUUAUGUUUCCUAAAUAACACAUAUGAGUGAAAUCAUAUGAUAAUUGUCUUUCUCU